rnacentral:rRNA from 1 species
CCUACGGGAGGCAGCAGUGGGGAAUAUUGGACAAUGGGCGAAAGCCUGAUCCAGCCAUGCCGCGUGUGUGAAGAAGGUCUUCGGAUUGUAAAGCACUUUAAGUUGGGAGGAAGGGCAUUAACCUAAUACGUUAGUGUUUUGACGUUACCGAGAGAAUAACCACCGGCUAACUUCGUGCCAGCAGCCGCGGUAAU